AGGUGGGUGCAAAAGUAAUUGGGGUUUUUGUCGUUGAAAGCAAAACCCCAAUUACUUUUGCACCAACCUA
rnacentral:miRNA from 1 species